GACAGAGGUGCCGAGCGUUAGGCGGAAUCACUGGGCUUAAAGCGUGUGUAGGCGGAUCUGUAAGUACCUUGUGAAAUCCCACGGCUCAACCGUGGAACUGCUUGGUAUACUGCGGGUCUUGAGCCACCUAGGGGCAAGUGGAACAAACGGUGGAGCGGUGAAAUGCGUAGAUAUCGUCUGGAACGCCGAAGGUGAAAACAGCUCGCUGGGGGCGUGCCGACGCUGAGACACGAAAGCCAGGGGAGCGAACGGG
rnacentral:rRNA from 1 species